CAAGACAUAGCUUAACACAAAGCAUCUGACUUACACUCAGAAGAUCUCAGUACUACCCGAUUGUCUUGA
rnacentral:tRNA from 2 species